AGCGAACGCUGGCGGCAGGCUUAACACAUGCAAGUCGAGCGGGCAUCCUUGUGGUGUCAGCGGCAGACGGGUGAGUAACGCGUGGGAACGUGCCCUUCGGUUCGGAAUAACUCAGGGAAACUUGAGCUAAUACCGGAUACGUGCGAGAGCAGAAAGGUUUAUCUGCCGAAGGAUCGGCCCGCGUCUGAUUAGCUAGUAGGUGAGGUUACGGCUCACCAAGGCGACGAUCAGUAGCUGGUCUGAGAGGAUGAUCAGCCACACUGGGACUGAGACACGGCCCAGACUCCUACGGGAGGCAGCAGUGGGGAAUAUUGGACAAUGGGGGCAACCCUGAUCCAGCCAUGCCGCGUGAGUGAUGACGGCCUUAGGGUUGUAAAGCUCUUUUCUCCGGGACGAUAAUGACGGUACCGGAGGAAUAAGCCCCGGCUAACUUCGUG
rnacentral:rRNA from 1 species